UAGAGGGCAGCAGUGGCAGAUGGUUACC
rnacentral:piRNA from 1 species